CGUUUACACUCCUACGGGAGGCAGCAGUGGGGAAUCUUGGACAAUGGGCGCAAGCCUGAUCCAGCCAUGCCGCGUGAGUGAUGAAGGCCCUAGGGUCGUAAAGCUCUUUCGCCAGGGAUGAUAAUGACAGUACCUGGUAAAGAAACCCCGGCUAACUCCGUGCCAGCAGCCGCGGUAAUACGGAGGGGGUUAGCGUUGUUCGGAAUUACUGGGCGUAAAGCGCGCGUAGGCGGACUGGAAAGUUGGGGGUGAAAUCCCGGGGCUCAACCCCGGAACUGCCUCCAAAACUCCCAGUCUUGAGUUCGAGAGAGGUGAGUGGAAUUCCGAGUGUAGAGGUGAAAUUCGUAGAUAUUCGGAGGAACACCAGUGGCGAAGGCGGCUCACUGGCUCGAUACUGACGCUGAGGUGCGAAAGUGUGGGGAGCAAACAGGAUUAGAUACCCUGGUAG
rnacentral:rRNA from 1 species